AUGAGGAAGGCGGCCGCCAAGCCCAAGCCGAGGGCGAGGGGGAAGGCCAAGCCCAAGCCGAAGGCGAAGCCCAGCCCCGACUCUCUCUCCGCCGCCUCGUCCCCGUCCGACGCCAGCGACGGGUCCCCCUCCCCCUCUCCCGUCGCCCUCCCCUCCGCCUCCAAGCCCAAGCCCAGGGUCAGGGCGAGGCCGAGGGCCAAGCCCAAGCCGAAGCCCAGCCCCGACUCCCUCUCCGGCGCCUCCUCGCCGUCCGACGCCAGCGCCGGGUCCCCCUCCCCCUCCCCCGUCGUCGGAGUCCGCCGCGGCUUCCUCUCGCCCGCCUCGCUGGUGACGCCCAAGGCCAGAUCCCCCCUCUCCGCGCCGGCCUCCGUGUCCACCGUCGGCGACCUGAGGGGCCUCGCCGCCUCGGGCCUCGACUCGCUCAAGCGCCGCCUCGACGCGCUCCACGCCGACAACGCCCGUGACCUCGAGGCCUCCCACUCCCGGAUCUCCAAGCGCAUCAAGAUGCAGACGCAGAGCUGCGUGCAGAUGGCGGAGGAGGCGGAGAAGGAGCAUAAGAAGAUGAUCGACAACUACUCCCAGCAAGCCGACGAGAUCAAGGCAUCGUACAAGAAGUUGAUGACAGAGGUGCAGUCGUCUUCGUCUCGUGUGUGCAAGGUGACCCUCCCUGAGAUGGCAAAGUCUGUGGCCAGAGCUAUCGACGGCUUGCGCAGUCGCUACAACAUCCCAGCUACAACAGCUUAG
rnacentral:rRNA from 1 species